UUUAUUUAAGGUCUGGCCUGCUCACUGAAGUUUUAAGAGCCGCAGUAUUUUGACUGUGCGAAGGUAGCAUAAUAAUUAGUUCUUUUAUUGGGAGCUGGAAUGAAUGGUUGGACGAGAAAAUAACUGUCUCUUUUUAAUUUAAAUGAAUUUUAUUUUUAAGUAAAAAAGCUUAAAUUUUUUUAAAAGACGAGAAGACCCUAUAGAGUUUUAUUUUCUUUUUUUAUGUUUAUUUUAGGUAUUUUAUGUUUCAUGAAUUUGGAAAAUUUGGUUGGGGUGAUUGAAAAAUUGGUUUAACUUUUUUUUUAUUUAAACAAGUUUUAUUGAAUAUUUGAUCCAUUUUUUGUGAUUAUAAGAUUAAAUUACCUUAGGGAUAACAGCGUAAUCCUUUUUGAGAGUUCUUAUCGAAAAAAGGGGUUGCG
rnacentral:rRNA from 1 species